UCGAGUGAAUUGUUUUGCUGAUGACUUCUCCGGUAUGGUACAAAUUGGUCCAAAUAGAAAUUCAAAAUCACAAAUCGCUGACGAACAAAUUUUUAGUGAAACAGAUAAAGAACCAUUUAGAUGUCCCCCGGGACAGUCAUGCCACUUCCAUAUAUGGUAGAGGCAGAACUUGUAGAACCACUCUUUUUGCAAUUAAAGUAGCUUCUUCCAAAUAUGGGCAUGUUCCUCGGGGAUGUCCUCAUUAUUCAUCAACCUUAAGACAAUUCUUCACGCCAUAAAGGAAUAGUCUAACCUGUCAUCAAGAGCGAUCAAUUUUACAGGCACGCGGAUUUUCCGAGCUUUUCGCACGCAUGUGUUAUCUAAACUAAAACGGAAUUGACGGGAAGCACAGCAAAGAACGCCGUCACGCCAGGUGUUUUGAGACGGUUGUCUCUCUCAUCUCCACCGCCCUGGGCACUUUUGUCGCCAUUUUGGACAGUUUAGUGUCUCUCCGUCCCGUGAUUCCACGUCACAAACAUCCUUGUUAUUGUUCAAACCUGAGUAACCGGCAACGAUCCGCCCUACGUCACCGGCUUUUUCCACUCCCAUAGGGGAAGGUUUUAUAUUAAGGGUCGCGGGCGGUUGUGAUCCCAGUUUGAUAGUUGGGACCGCGACCGAACACACACAGACGUCACCCCGCUCCCAGGAACCACCAUGCCGGUGAGCCGUCUCUACGGUCAGGAAAACAGAAAAACGGCAGGACAUAAGCUCGCGCGAACCGACAGCGAGGAGGAACUGUCUGCCCUGUCAGACAGGAACUACAACCCGCGUUCCUCGGGCGCCAUCUUAGGUGGGGUGCCGGGCAAGCGAGCCCGAUUCCGGUCCCCCGGCUCCACCAUGCAAGCCAACGGGACAGCCGCGGGAGGGGAGGACAUGGCUGCCCGCCGACGGGCCUUGAUGGCCGUCAAGAUGGCCAACACGUUCAUGAACUGUAAAAAUUACGAGAAGGCCCUGAAGCACUGGACCGACGCGGUCGAGGCGUGCCCCACCUGUCCAGACUACCUGGCGGGGAGGGCCGGUUGUAACAUCAUGCUCGGCAAGUACGACGACGCCAUUAUGGACGCGGUCCAAGCCACCGACUUCGCCCCGGACUGUGUGGACGCGUACUGCAGCCACGGGGAGUGCUUACUCGCCCUUGGACGACCUAAAGAAGCCACGGAAGUUUACACCAAAGCCCAGAUGCUGGAGCCGAAAAACCAGGCCAUUUCCAGUGACCUCCGGGUCGCCAAGGACCUGAUUCAUUUGCAGUCUUUCGCCGAGCGUGACAUGGAGAAAGGGGACUACAGGCGGGUGUUGUUUUACAUGGACAAAGCUAUCAAGCAGGUCCCUCAGUGUGCUAAAUACAGGGUGUACAAGGGAGAGAGCAUGGUCAUGAUGCGGAACUAUAACGAAGCACACGAAGUACUGAGCGAGGUUCUGGAGUACCAACCCCAGAACGUAGACGCUCUGUACGCCAUGGGGCUGUGUCUAUACUACCAGGGGAACAUUGACGACGCCUUCGUACACUUUGAACAAGUGUUGGACAUUUCUCCCGACCACGAGAAGACCAACGCUGCGCUAGAAAAAGCCCAGGCGCUUGCCACCAAGAAAGAAGAAGGUAACGAUGCCUUCAAGGCAAACAAAUACGAGGAGGCGUUCGACAGGUACACGGAGGCGCUCGCCAUUGACCCACUAAUCGAUUUGACGAACUCAAAACUGUACUACAACCGAGCCGUGGUCUGUGUCAAAAUGAACAAACUGGUACAGGCCAUUGAGGACUGCACAAAUGCCAUCAAACUGGAUGAAUCAUACACAAAAGCCUACCUCCGGAGGGCCAAGUGUUACAUGGAGAUGGAACAAUUCGAACAGGCUGUUUCAGACUACGAAAGAGUAUGCGAUCAAGACAGAACGCCGGAACACCUGCAGUUCCUUCAAGAGGCGAAGAAGGCGCUGAAGAGAAGUACGUCCAGGGACUAUUAUCAAAUCCGUGGGGGUAGAGCGGACGGCAAGUUUGGAUGUAAUUAAGAAAGCGUACAGGAAGAAGGCAAAGGAAUGUCAUCCGGAUAAAAACGUGGAUUCCAGCGAGGAGGAGAAAGCCAUACAGGAGAAGAGGUUUAAGGAGAUCAGCGAAGCGUACGGUGUGCUGUCAGACGCCGAGGAAAAACGACGGUACGACCUGGAACAAGCCAUGGAGGGGGUACAGGACGCUUUGGAGGGUUUUCAAAGUUCGGAACUGGUAACGUACCCCACCCAGACUCAGAGGACUGGUAGAUUUGGACAAACACAUGCACAUGGGUUCAACGCUAACCCAGGAGCUAACCCAGGGGGUAGACAACGUUAUGGGUUUGCUAGUAGAGGAUUCACAAGUAGCCGAUUCAAGUUCCAUCAUGUAUGACGCAAUAAGUGGGUUAGGUGUUGAGUAUGCAUACUUCCUGUAUAGACCAGGUAGAGGACAAAUCAUGGCUAAUUUCACUGCGUUACC